UACAGAGGGGGCAAGCGUUAUUCGGAAUUAUUGGGCGUAAAGGGCGCGUAGGCGGCCUGACAAGUGGAAGGUGAAAUCCCUCGGCUCAACUGAGGAACUGCCCUCCAAACUGUUUGGCUUGAGACCGGGAGAGGUGAGUGGAAUUCCCAGUGUAGCGGUGAAAUGCGUAGAUAUCUGGAGGAACACCGGUGGCGAAGGCGGCAUCCUGGACCGGCAUUGACGCUGAGGAGCGAAAGCCAGGGGAGCAAACAGG
rnacentral:rRNA from 1 species